rnacentral:lncRNA from 1 species
ACUCGUAUAAUCCACCUUCGCCACAUCAACAUCUGAUAGCUGACUCACAUAAUCCACCUUUGCCUCAUGAACCUAAUUCCGUUAAUUAUACGCGCAAGCAAAAAUACUUCAGAAGAAAUUUUACAUAAAUCAAAAAAGAAAAUCCAGAUUUAAAAAUAGUACUACUAGAAUAAGUAUUUGUUAUUGAACCCAAGUUAUCUAGAAAAAGGUAUAAUUGUUCAUAAAUAACAUGCUUUGACUCUUGAAUUAAAAACAUACGGUUAAUUCAUCAUAUUCACUUGAUUACGAUAUGAUUCUUUUCUAAUCUUAUACAAAUUUGUUCUCAUAAAACAACAACAAAACUAGAGUUUACACGUACAUUUGUUGAAGUUUUCUCCUCCUUUUUACUUAACACUCUUUUGCUCGAAAAAUCAAUUCCUCUCAAUGUAAGCAAUACCAGAAUCACUCCUCCUGACACAGUAAAAUAUUACAAAUAAACACACACAAAAAAAGAAUGAAUUUUAAUUAUCCGAAAGUAAACAAUGAAUAUGUUUAAAGUAAGAGAUUUUUACCCAGAUGGUCUCUACCCAUAUCCGUACAACUUUCAGAUAACAAGUUCGGUUUCAAAUUCGGUCGCAAAAUUUGUUUGAA